rnacentral:rRNA from 1 species
CCUACGGGCGGCUGCAGUGAGGAAUAUUGGUCAAUGGGCGCAAGCCUGAACCAGCCAUCCCGCGUGAAGGAAGAAGGCGUUAUGCGUUGUAAACUUCUUUUCCAGGGGAAUAAAAUUUCGUACGUGUACGGAAUUGAAGGUACCCUGGGAAUAAGCAUCGGCUAACUCCGUGCCAGCAGCCGCGGUAAUACGGAGGAUGCGAGCGUUAUCCGGAUUUAUUGGGUUUAAAGGGUGCGCAGGCGGAAAGAUAAGUCAGUGGUGAAAUCCUGCAGCUUAACUGCAGAAUUGCCGUUGAUACUGUUUUUCUUGAGUGUGGUCAAGGAAGGCGGAAUGUGUAAUGUAGCGGUGAAAUGCUUAGAUAUUACACAGAACACCAAUUGCGAAGGCAGCUUUCUGGGCCGUUACUGACGCUCAUGCACGAAAGCGUGGGGAGCAAACAGGAUUAGAUACCCCUGUAGUC